GAUCAUGGCUCAGAACGAACGCUGGCGGCAGGCUUAACACAUGCAAGUUGAACGGGAUUUGUAUGGUGCUUGCACCAUGUAAUGAGAGUAGCGCACUGGUGAGUAACACGUGGGAACAUACCUUGAAGUGGGGGACAACAGUUGGAAACGACUGCUAAUACCGCAUAAUCCCUGAGGGGGGAAAGAUUUAUCGCUUUAAGAUUGGCCCGCGGAAGAUUAGGUAGUUGGUGAGGUAACGGCCCACCAAGGCG
rnacentral:rRNA from 1 species